UGGGGAAUAUUGCGCAAUGGACGAAAGUCUGACGCAGCGACGCCUCGUGAGGGACGAAGGUCUUCGGAUUGUAAACCUCUUUCAGCAGGGACGAAGCGAAAGUGACGGUACCUGCAGAAGAAGCACCGGCUAACUAUGUGCCAGCAGCCGCGGUAAUACAUAGGGUGCAAGCGUUGUCCGGAUUUAUUGGGCGUAAAGAGUUCGUAGGCGGUUUUUCGCGUCGGAUGUGAAAACUCAGGGCUCAACCCUGAGCCUGCAUUCGAUACGGGAAGACUCGAGGACGGCAGGGGAGACUGGAACUUCUGGUGUAGCGGUGGAAUGCGCAGAUAUCAGAAAGAACACCAAUGGCGAAGGCAGGUCUCUGGGCCGAUCCUGACGCUGAGGA
rnacentral:rRNA from 1 species